rnacentral:rRNA from 1 species
UAUCCUAAUAUAUCCAUUGCUUAUUGCAUGUUAUUUACUGUGCCUUGGACUGUCGCGUCGGUCGAAAGAACCUUUUCCAAGUUGAAAUUUGUGAACAGAUAUCUGAGGUCAACAAUGAGUCAAGAGAGGUAA